rnacentral:lncRNA from 10 species
CUUCGCCUGCCGCGGUCGGGUCCGCGGCCUGCGCUGUAGCGGUCGCCGCCGUUCCCUGGAAGUAGCAACUUCCCUACCCCACCCCAGUCCUGGUCCCCGUCCAGCCGCUGACGUGAAGAUGAGCAGCUCAGAGGAGGUGUCCUGGAUUUCCUGGUUCUGUGGGCUCCGUGGCAAUGAAUUCUUCUGUGAAGUGAGUUCUCUUCAACCUCCCUACUUGCCAGCUUCACAUAUCUUCCCACCAGACGUUCCUUCACAUAUUCCACUUCUGCACUGUUCUCUUACAUGCUAUUUGAAAACUUCCUAUCAGCAAAGAGUCCCCCCUAUAAACCCCGACGAACCUGUGCUAAAGUGGCAAAACUGGGGCCCAAGUCCUGAGUCUGCCACCGUCCAGCAAUAUAACGUUGGGCUAGUCAAUUUGUGUCUUUUUCUUUUUUUUGAGACUGGGUCUCACUCUGUCACCGAGGCUGGAGGGUAGUGGUGCGAUCUCGGCUUACUGCCACCUCUGCCUCCCAGGUUCAAGCGAUUCUCCUGCUCCAGCCUCCCAAGUAGCUGGGAUUACAAGUGCCUGCCACCAUGCCUGGCUAAUUUUUGUAUUUUUAGUAGAGACAGGGUUUCACUAUGUUGGCCAGGCUGGUCUCGAACUCCAGACCUCAGGUGAUCUGCCUGCCUCGGCCUCCCAAAGUGCUGGGAUUACAGGCGUGAGCCAUUGCGCCCGGCCUGUAUCUUUUGUUACUAAAGUGGCACUGCUAGUACUUGUCUCAGGUGGCCUUUAGGAAAACUGAAAUGCUACACAUUGAAAUGUUUUGUUCAGAAACCAUGCUGUUCAGCUUCCACCUUCCUUAGCCAGCUGAGAGGACAAAACUGGUUCCUAGAGACGGGAUACAGGAGUGGAGUAGGGACAAAGAUCUUGAAAAGAAUGUCUAAGAAAAAGAUUGCUGUAUCUACUUAUCCUUAGAAAAGAAAAGCCAAAGCUUUUAUGGGAGAGAGUGUAGGUGAACUAGGGAGAGACACAAGUACUUCUGCUGAGUUGGGAGUGAGAAACAAGCACAACAGAUGCAGUUGUGUUGAUGAUAAGGCAUCACUUAGAGCAUUUUGCCCAGGUCAAAGAUGAGGAUUU